rnacentral:lncRNA from 1 species
UAGAUAAGAUCUUGUAAGUGAGAUUUUUUGCAUCUAUGUUAAUUUACCAGGUGAGAUACCACACGAAAUCGCUAAUCUUCGAAAUCUAGAGGCUUUAGUGCUUGGAAUGAACAACCUAGUUGGUAUGGUAUCAGCUACAAUCUUCAACAUGUCAACAGUGAAGGUGAUUAUCCUCAUAAAUAACUCUCUCUCUGGAAGUCUUCCAUCAAGAAUGGACCUUUCACUUCCAACUAUUGAGCAUCUUAACUUGGCACUUAAUAGAUUUUCUGGAACCAUUCCUAGUUCUAUCACCAAUGCUUCUAAGCUCACCUUUCUAGAGUUGGGAGGAAACACAUUUUCGGGCUUUAUUCCAAACACAUUUGGUAAUUUAAGAAACCUUGAGCUGCUCGACUUGGCUAAUAACUACUUGACAUCUUCAACCUCAAAAUUGAGCUUCCUUUCCUCUUUGGCAAAUUGCAAGAAAUUAAGAACCUUAAGAUUAAGUGGCAAUCCACUUGACGGCGUCCUUCCAAGUUCAAUAGGAAAUCUUUCUAAGUCUUUGGAAACACUUGUCAUCGUCAAUUGCAGUAUUAGUGGCAACAUUCCUCGAGCAAUUGGCAAUUUAAGCAACUUGUUGGCCUUAGUAUUAGAAGCCAAUAAAUUGACUGGACCAAUUCCAAUUACAUUCGGCCGACUACAGAAACUCCAAGGCUUAGAUCUUGCAUUCAAUAAGUUGGUAGGUUCAUUCCCAGAUGAGCUUUGCCAUCUAGCUAGGCUGGCUGAAUUGGUCUUAUUUGGCAAUAAGCUUUCAGGAUCUAUACCUUCAUGCCUAAGUAAUCUCACUUCUCUAAGAUCUCUCUACUUAGGGUCCAAUAGGUUUACUUCUGUUAUUCCCUCAACUUUCUGGAGCCUAAAAGACAUCUUGUUCUUUGACUUUUCAUCAAAUUUCUUGGUUGGUCCUCUUUCUUUAGACAUAGGAAAUUUGAAGGUGCUUGUAAGAAUAAAUUUAUCAAAAAAUAACUUAUCCGGUGAUAUCCCAGCCACAAUUGGAGGACUGAAAGAUCUUCAAUUUAUGGACGUAGCAUAUAAUAGAUUGGAAGGCCCAAUUCCUGAAUCAUUUGGUGACUUGACAAGUUUGGAGGUUUUGAAUUUGUCAAAAAAUAAAAUCUCUGGGUCUAUUCCAACAUCCAUGGAGAAACUCUUUUACCUCCGAGAGUUAAAUCUCUCUUUCAAUGAACUAGAAGGUGAGAUUCCCAGUGGAGGAAUUUUUGCCAACUUCACAGCUGAGUCAUUUAUGGGAAAUGAGUUAUUGUGUGGUUUACCAAGUCUUCAAGUCCAACCAUGCAAAGUUAGCAAGCCGAGGACAGAACAUAAAUCAAGGAAAAAGAUACUUCUCAUUGUGAUUGUUUUGCCAUUGAGUAUUGCUCUAACAAUAGCAAUCACACUAGCUCUCAAAUCUAAGCUGAUCGAAUGUGGAAAAAGAAGCACAGUGUUGUCAAAUGAUAGUGUCUUGUCAUCACAAGCAACACUAAGAAGAUUUUCAUACUUAGAACUUUUACAAGCAACAGAUAAUUUUGCUGAAAACAACGUAAUUGGCAUUGGAGGUUUUGGUUCUGUUUAUAGAGCAAGACUUGAAGAUGGGAUGAAGAUUGCAAUAAAAGUGUUUCACCAGCAAUGUGCAAGCGCAUUGAAGAGUUUUGAGGCUGAAUGUGAAGUGUUAAAAAAUAUUCGCCAUCGAAAUCUUCUCAAAGUUAUCAGCAGUUAUUCAAACAAUGACUUCAAAGCAUUAGUCCUAGAAUACAUGUCCAACGGGAGCUUGGGGGAUUGGCUGCAUUCUAGCAAUUAUAUGCUGAAUAUAUUUCAAAGGUUGAACAUAAUGAUUGACGUUGCAUCAGCUUUAGAAUAUCUCCACUUCGAUCAUUCAACUCCUAUCAUUCACUGUGACUUAAAGCCUAGUAAUGUAUUGUUGGACGAAAAUAUGGUUGCUCAUUUGAGUGAUUUUGGCAUAGCAAAGCUUUUAAGUGGAGAGGAUGAGUAUUUGAUGCGAACAAAAACCCUUGCCACUAUAGGUUAUAUGGCACCAGGUUUGCUUCAAACAAUUGUUUUUUUUUAAGUUCAUUUUAAAUUUUCCAAAUCAUUGAUUUUUACGAUCCUCACAUCAAAAUUUUCUUGAUUAUUUAUCUAAUUGUGAAAUUAAUUUUAUUCAUAGAGUACGGCAUAGAAGGAGAAGUAUCUACAAAAAGUGAUGUUUACAGCUAUGGGAUUAUGUUGAUGGAAACUUUUACUAAGAAAAACCCCACAGAUGAAAUUUUUGUUGGAGAAUUGAGCUUAAAGCGUUGGGUUAAUGACUUGCUUCCUACUUCAUUAGUGGAAGUUGUGGACAAAACUCUGCUAAGUGGAGAGGAAAAACAUUCUGCAGUAAAGGAGCAAUGUCUGUUGUCUAUCUUUAGUUUGGCUCUGGAGUGUACAAUGGAAUCACCGGAAAAGAGGAUUAAUGCAAAAGAUGUUGUUACCAGAUUACUCAAGAUAAGAGACACAUUGAGUAAAAGGAUAGGAAACUGAAGUUAAUUUCGUUUGCUUUCAUUGAUAGUUAAUUCAAAUUCAUGUAAUAAGUGUAAGAAUCUUAUAUCCUUUCCUUUGAUUUUUUUUUUUUUUUGAGAAAACUGUUGUAGUCAUCUUGUUUCACUGCCCCCAAUGCUUUGGACACCUACUGGUAGGUUUGUACGUGUCCUCAACUUUUUUUAGGAGCACAAAAUUCGAGUCCCAUGGAGACUCAAACAUUCCUUUCCCACAUCCCGAGCACGCUAAGUUCGAGUGAAAGAGAUUAAUUUACGGAAACUAAAGCCAAGAGAAUAAAGGACAACACUUAUGUGAAGCGACAUAAAUGUAUUGAUAGCACAAUGUCAAAUUCAUACAGAGAUCUAGUAUACUAUUUACAGCCGGUAAGGGCUAAGAAUUGAUGUAGCUAGAAUACAAAGACGAUAAGGUAUGUUGUGCACUAUUGUUUUAUUCUACGAUCAAUCUUGACCCUUGAUGCUUGGCUCUCAAUCUUGUCCAUUGAUCUUCUUUGAUUUUGUACACUUCAAGACCUUUCAGUAUCAUUCCUUGUUGUUGGUGUCUUCCGUGCUGUAGAAUUCAUAUACAAGCCUUCCCGCCGACUUGCGAAGUAUUCGUUCAUUGAUGCAUUUUUAUCAAACAGUUGGCCGACUUGCCAAGUAUCAUGCCUUGUUAUAGGUAGGCUUGGUAGGAUUAUGGGUCGGUCGGUAGAUGUACAUGUGUUAAAGCUUUUGAAUUUAUGCCAAUUGAAAAUAAAAAAGAAUCUACAUAAAUUUUCAACGAGGCUAUUACCACAAUAAGCAUUUGGAUGAAUUAUUAUUGAAUCCUUUCUGAGAAGUAGGACAUGUCAGACAUCAAAGCACUGAGAUAUCUUCAAAUAGUGGUAACCCCCACGCAACAAGGCACAAUAAAUUAUACAGAUAAAAUCCUUCACUCUUUCGUAAUCAUCAGUGUAGGCACGGUGAUGCGUCAGACAGAUAUGGGUCGGAUCCACUCCAGCUCCAUAUCAAGAUUCAUAAACCAUGACAAAAAUAGAGAAUCAUAGGUGUUGCAGAUAGUGAUGGUUGUUGAUGCACUCGUGAUUUAAAAUUUUAUUUUAUAUCUUCAAGUUCGCAUUUUAAGUGUCCUUUUUUUUAAUUUUUUAUUGUGAUCAUUAUAACUUGUCAAAUCUAUUUUUAAAUAAUUUUUUAAAAAUAUUUUAUUAACAAUGAUAUGAAAAUAUUCGAACACCUUUUCAUAGUAAAGUGAAUUAUUAUCCGACGAUCCAACUCAUGUUUUCAAAUUGUAAAUUGCAAAUCGUGUGUUUGCUCCAUUACAGAGUUUCAUCAAUUUGAAAUAGAGAAUCAUUUGUGUUCUAGAUUAAUCGAGGGUCUAUAUCCAAAUCUAAAAAUUGACUAACUUGGUUUCUAUUAAAUUCUUAAUCCUAACAAGAAAAAUAGAAGAUUAAAAAUGACUAAUUUGGUUUCUAUUAAUUUGAGUAACGAUCGAAUUACCUAAUUUAUUAAGAUUUAUCAAAAUCCUAUGUCAAAAUCCAUUAAUGAUAUAGGUUCAAUGACGAAAUAGUCACUUGUUAUUAUUUUUGACUUCAUAAAUAGAUGAACGGAUGUUAUUUUUGGAUUCUGGAGAAUCGAAAAUAUCAGGAUAGGUGAUAAAUGGAAUUAAGUUGUAGAUAAGAUAGAAAUGGAUUUGGAGAGAGAUUGGAAUCCUGGGUAAUCCGGAGUACGUUGUUGUGUUGAAUGCUCGUUGACUUCACGUUGACUGAAACAUUAUUGGAAGAAGUGAGCAAGCUUAUUUUCUUCUCUCAUUUUUUAAAUUUGUCUUAAGUUUAUUGAUGUGAGGCCUUUGAGAUUGUAAGUUUCAAAUCUGAGAAGAAUAACCACACACCCAUUAUCCUAUUACUCUUAUUUUAUCACAUGAAGAGAAUUCGAAGUUUGAUAAAUUUGUGAGGAUUGUGAGGGUUGAUGCAAUAUAAUUUAGAUGCAAAGUGUUUACAAGUACGAUGCUUCAUAAGUGUUCUUGAAUCAUUAUAAACUCACGUUAUUUUUAUAAUGAUUGUUUCAUCUGCACAUGGAUAUAAUCAUAUGUUGAGAUUUUUUCCUAAAUUAUGGUCUUAUUUGGUAUUGAGGUGUUAGAUCUUUUAAGUUACAAUUACUAUUGGAAAAAAAAGUGCAACUAUGAAAUAAAAGUUAAUAUUGUGUACUAAAUAUAAUUGUUAAAUAAUAAUUUUGACAAAAUUAGUGAAGAUAUAUAGGUUUUUUUUUAAUCAUCUAAGUGUAAAAUCAAAUCAACUUAACUUCUAAACUAUAUAGCAGCUACUGUUUACCAAAUACUUUAGUACUGUAACUUUUAAGUUAUAGCUGCCUAACCUCAGUCUCAAACAAUGGCUAUAAAGAUCAAAGAUUUCCUCAUAAAAAUUAUACGUCUUGUGAUUGCUUAUUUAAUUUAUAUUUUUUUAUUUAUCUUUAUUAAUUACAGUCAUCUUUUAAUAAAUUACAAUUGCAGGAAGUUGAUGUUCGAAGUGCUUAUGUCGACUCAAAGUUGUUGGGAAUUAAUGCAUGUAUUGAUUUAUUGGGAGUGUUUAAAUGAUUUUGUGAUUUACUUGAUUGAUUGAUUGAAUAAUGUUUGAUUGCUUCAUAUCCGUUCUAGAAAGUUUAUUUCUUUGUGAAAUUUCAAUGAAAUAUGUUUUUUUAAAUUAUAAGGGUUUUUUAAGUAAUUUUAAAAAUAAAUGAACUAAUAAGGAUUAAUUAUUAGGUAAUUAACUUGAACUAUACAGGGUAAGCGAACAUGUAUCCUAAUUAUAUCAUGAUAAAUCCUUUUCCGAUCAGAAUUAGGAAACCAUAAGUAUAUUGAUUUUUUUUUCCAAUUCUCCUUUGCGAAAACGGAUUACAGAAUUAGAAAACAAUCCUAAUGAUAUUAUUGUUAGGUUUAAAACACUGCAUAGAUAGUAAAAAGCUAACUAGUUCGUAGAGUAAUUUGUUAAUUGCUAUCGCCUCUGCCUGCGCGGUGAAUAAUUUGUUGCAUGCAAAUUUUUUAUUUUAUGCAAAUCGUACUGAACAUUGGAAUUGAUGUAUAAGCAAAAAUACAAGAGUAUUUAUGUCAAUACAAAUUUUUUUUUUCCAUUUUAAAUAAACACAACGCGAUGUUUAUCUGCUCCGCGUUUUUGCAAUCUGUUUAUUCGUUGUUUAUUUGCUUCUUAAGGCCUCAAACUUUGAUAACCAAAAAUUUCACCAAACUAUGAAAAAUAUUCUGCAGGUUAGUUUUUAUUUUCGGAAUAAUUAUUUGAGAAUACUAAAACACAAUAUAAAAUAAGAAAAUAGGGGGUUAAAAUUUGAAAAAAAAACAAAAGGGCAUGUUGGAUAGAUUACUGUAGUUUAAGAAAAAAAUUAUUCAGUUGGGAAUUUUUUUUCUUUAAUUUUUGUUUUACUUAAUUGAGAUUUCUCCUUAAUCCUUACAGUUUUAAAUUUGGAUAACAUAGGAUUAGUAAUUUAGUACUUCCUUUGCAAGCCGAGGUUAAUGAUGAAAUUCUUUUAAGAAAAAAGAUAAAAGAGCAUACCAAUAGUCAAUUAUAAAUAACCACAAAUAAAUACAAACAAAAUGUUUAUGAAGUAAAUUAAAAAUGUGCAUAUUAUUUUUUUUUUAUUUCUUACUAAUCUUUGUAUUUGCUGCUUGAAAAACCAUAAAUACACAGAUGACCAUUGGCUUCGCACCAUUUAAUUGGGAUACAUUUCUACGUACAAACUGAACAAGGCUAUUGAUUUUUAUUAUUAUUUUUAUUUAUUUAUAAAUUACUAUUUCAAUUUUCACUUUUUAUUGGGUUGUUUAAUGGAUUAGUGAGGCUGGUGGUCGUUGAUGCACUCACAAGGUACAAUUUUGUUUUCCAAUUUCAAAUUCGUAUUUUAAAAUGCAGCACAUUAUGUAUACAUAAUUAUUGAUUUUCAUAUGUGGGUGUUUUGAAAUAUUGCUAAAAGACCAAACUUUAAUAAACUAUUUUUGAUCCUUUUUUGUUUCUUUUUUCCUAAAGUUUGAGUGAUAUCCGCAUUUUUAAAAGCUAAUGUAUGCAAAAAAUUCUUUUAUUUUUCUGGGGAAAAUAGGCAAGAGAAAACGUUUUGGCAAAUGAGUUGCAACUGAAUUCAAAACCAAUACGAUGCGAGCAUAGGAAAGAGGUCAGUGUUUUGGAUUUGAAUUUAGUAUUGAGCUGAAUUUUAUGUUUAACACAUGAUUCUAUUAUAGUACUGCGAUUAAUAAGCUCAGCCCCGGAUUUGCUUUUGCUUUUGCUUUUACUUCAAGUGAAAGAAAGAGGAAACCUUUUGUUUUUUCUUUGGUUUUUGACUAUGUUACCUAUACAGAGAGUCAAGAUAUCAGCCAUAAGUGAUGGUGUUAAAAAGAUUAAGCAGCGCACACAAUCUUACUGCUGUCUAGACCAUCCAAUGAUGACUCCAGUCUUUUGGUUACAUUAGCUUUAGUUGAAAUAAGGGCCAAUUUAGCAAACACUAGCUUUGGCGGCUUACUAUGUUUAAUGUAAUGCUUAUUCUCAAGGAAUCUAAUGUUAUAAGAUGAUUGAAUGAUCUUCUAUGAUUGUGAGUAGUAUAGGAUAAUUGAAAAGAGCCUGGCUCCUAUGAUAAAUAACAGUAACACAGUACUGUGAUUGAAAAAGUUCAGUUACAAAAACUUAGUUACAGUAAACUCUUCAUUUAUUCAUUGCGGAGAUUGAAUGGCAAAAAGAGAAUAGAAUGAAGCAGAGGAAUCUCAUUGCCAAUAAAAUUGACCCUCUUUAAUGUUAUAUGGCACAGGUAUGUUUACAUCAAGAACAAGUUACUUACAGUUUUUAUUGUAGUUAAGUUUUGAUGAUUUCAGAUGCUUUUUUUUUUUAAUUGUGACACCUUUGAUUUAUAAUAAUAUUGCAAAUAUAUAUAUAUAUAUAUAUUAGUAGUUUUUUGGUCCGAAAUUUUAAAGUGUGAGAAAGUAUGAGAAAGCUUUAAAACCGCACGGUGUUAAAGGCUUACAGUUUUAAGCAUUUUAAUCCAUGCGGUUUUAAAGUUUUACUGGAUUUUUCCGCACUUUAAAAUUCCAGACUGAAACAUUUCUGUAUAUAUAUACAUAUAAAUAUAUAAAUUAAGAGGGAUGAGUUAACUGAAGAUUAUAAUCAUUACAACAAUGCUGAUGAGUGAUACAUCACUUGAAAUUUACUUAUCAGUUGCUGAAAUGAUGAAAAAAAAACAAUAAACAAUAACAGUGAUAAUGUUCUCUUGCUAAAAUGACUUGUAUAUUAUACAAUCCACUCUACUUAAUGAUAUCGUUUUAAUAAAUGUUUGAUGAUCUCCAUUUAAAAACUACUUCAAUUUUUUUCUUCAUUUAACUUUUUGGUUGUUGAAAAUAACCUUAAUUAUCAAAUAAUUGGAGAAAGAGUAAAGAACAUUUAACAAAUUUAUGUGUAAAAAAAAAAAGGAGAAGUUGAAGAGAAAGGGUGCUUGCAGAAGUAGGUGUCAAAGAUAAAUCGGUCCAUAGGAAUUAUUUGUUGAGAUAUAAUUAAUAAUCUAGUAAAUUGAGCAAGAAGUUUGAAGGGUUAUUUGGUUUGUUUUUCAACAUGAAGUAAAGGGUAGAAUUGAUGUUUGCAAUGUAGCUUUGGAAAUGUAAAGCAUGAUUAAUGUAAUCUCUAGAGUUGUCUAUAAUGCAUAUAAAUAUAGAACUCUGGUUGUAUGAAAAGUAAGAGAGAAACGAAAAAAUGAAUUAAGCAAUAAAGUUUCAGAAAUUUCCAGCAAAAUACUCUGUUCUUAAAUAAAAAUUUUUCUGCACUUCCGCUUGCACCCAACAAAUUUGGUAUCAGAGCUAUUCCAAAACACCCUCAAAAUGACAUCAAACUUCUCCCUGUUUUGAGCUGGAAUAAGAGCAGAAAGCUGUGGGAAAAGGCACUAUUGCUGUCCAUACAAAGGAAGGUACUGAUUUCCUUAUUGUUUGCCUUUAUGUUGAUGCUGCAACAACAAUUUAUUGUGACAACAUGUCAGCCAUUGCUCUAACAAAGAACCCCGUAUUUCAUGCUAAAUCUAAGCACAUUGAGCUGCGUUAUCACUACAUCCGUGACUUAGUAAACAAAGGAGAAGUUAAUAUGGAGUUUAUCAGCACUAAUGAGCAGCCAUCAGAUUUUCUGACCAAAGCAAUCAACAUUGAGAAGUUUGAAAAAUUCAAGAAGCAAUUGAAGAUUACUAAUUAAGAGGGGGUGUUGAGAUAUAAUUAAUAAUCUAGUAAAUUGAGCAAGAAGUUUGAAGGGUUAUUUGGUUUGUUUUUCAACAUGAAGUAAAGGGUAGAAUUGAUGUUUGCAAUGUAGCUUUGGAAAUGUAAAGCAUGAUUAAUGUAAUCUCUAGAGUUGUCUAUAAUGCAUAUAAAUAUAGAACUCUGGUUGUAUGAAAAGUAAGAGAGAAACGAAAAAAUGAAUUAAGCAAUAAAGUUUCAGAAAUUUCCAGCAAAAUACUCUGUUCUUAAAUAAAAAUUUUUCUGCACUUCCGCUUGCACCCAACAUUAUUUUGGUUAUUUUUUAGCAAUAUAAAAAUUUUUUAGCAAGUAAAAAUUAAUUUUUUUCCAAUUUACUAAAAAAUUAACUAAAAACUUCUGCGAUAGCAUUUUUUAUGGGUGCAUAUACCUCCCUUUAAAAAAUAUAUAAUAAUUAAUGCUUAAUAUAGUAUUAAAUACGAAAAUAUCAAUAUUUGACUACUCAAAUUUAUAUCAUUAGGUCCUUAAAAUUUAAAAUUGAAGAUACAAAAGGAAAUAUAUAUAAAUUUCAUUCUCAUGGGAAAGGAUCAUCUUAUAAUCUUAUAAUAUUUGAGUUUUGAAAUAUUUUUUUGAAACAAAUGUACUUUUAUUUGUGUACAAUCAAUAUGUACUUAUUUAUUAUAUUUUUAUUUAUUAACUAUCAAUCAUGUGAGUAUAUUUAGUCAGAAAAAUUAUAUCAAGAGAGAACCCUAAUUUCACGUAAAGACAAAUACAAGACAAAUAUGGCAAUUUCUAUACUAUUCACUUUCCUGUAGAAUCAAUUAUCUAAAAUGCAAGUUUGUGGCUUCAAAAAACUCGCCAAAGAAAGAAGAUAAUUACAAUUGAGCAUUGAUAGCAAAUCUAAUGCAUCCAAUUCUUCUUAACUUGAUGAGUGACGUGAAUACUAGCAGUCUGUAACGCCCAAAUUUUUAUUAUUUUAUUUAUUUUUUAAUGGAAUUUAUAAAUGACAUUUUUGCCCUUAUAAAAACGGUUAUUCAUGGAAUAAUUUUUAGGAAAGGGUUAUUUUUCCAAAUUCAAUAGGGUUUCUUAAGACUCCCUAUAAAUUCAUAUUUUUCUCCUUCCAUAACCCUAAAAGCACGACGUUUCUUCUUCUUCUAUGCUGCUCAUUACGCUCUUACCCAAACCCUAGGAUUCAAACCUUUGGUUAAGAGAGAAUCAAAGCGAUUGGUAAGUUUAUUCCCCUUAUUCUCCACAAGAUUCCCAAUCACUCUAUCUAGGGUUUAUAUUGGCACGAUUUUAGAUUGUUAUAGAUCAUAAUGCAUGAUUUAGAAUGUGUUUAGGCUUUGUUUAGAGUUUUGAUUUAUUAUGAGUUUAGUUAAUCAACCUUGACGUAUUAAGCACAUAGAAUAGUUCCAUAGAAUAUUAUGUUAUUCUGAGUUUUAGAUUAAGAGUUAAAAUUCUGAGCAUCGGACCUGUACGGGUACGAAUUAAAAAAACCAGGUUCUUAGAAUAAGUUAUUAAUUGUCAUAUAUUGUAUUUGUUUAAGGCGUUGGAGGUGAUUGAGGCUCUUAGAGGGUUAGAGGUGUGUUAAUUCAAAUUCUUUUGUCAAGUUAAGUAACUUUAUUCCUAAUGUACUGGAUAUAUAUAUAUGAUUAUUUUGAUAUUAUUAUAAGUAUACGAAUUUUUUUACUACUUAGAAGAUUAAUGGAUUUUCAUAACAAAAUCAGUUUGUGUAAAUGUUUUCAAACCUAAAUUCUUUUUAAUAAAUUAUUUUGUAAAGGCUUUUAAAUAUGUAAGUUAUUUUAUGACAUGACUACCUUUUAUAAUUUUGUCUAUGAAAUAUUUGCAAGCCUAAAUUGUGGUUAUGGACUUUCAUGAAACUGAUACAAAUGUUUUGUACCUAUGUAUGAUUUCAAUUAUUUAUGAUUGUACGGGGGCCACCUCUUGGGACUAUAUGGGGGCCACCUCUUGAAAGCCAAAGCAUCGCAAAGUGCCACAUAUAAGUCAUUAUGUUUUGGCUCAUUGUCCAUAGUUAUUCUGAUUCUGAUUCUGAUCGUAUAAUACGAUAUAUGUCUGUUCUGGACCAGUACUGGGUUUUUGUUUUGAGUGUGCACACGAUAUUCUGAUUCUGUUUUUGGCCGAGUCACCAGGACUAUAGGUGACACUAUGUGACAUGAGCUAACCUUUUGUUUUAUGUGAAUGUGAUAUAUGAUUUGCUUUUGUAAGUAACUAUACUUUUGAUAUUCUGAGUUACAAUGAAUUUAAAUUAUUUUAUAGUGAUAUAUCGUUUUAUGAAAUUUAUGGAUUAUGAUAUAUGUUUUAAUUAAAAGAAGGCUUGCAAUAUUUUUGGUAUCGAUAGGCCUAGUGUGUUAGGAAUAGUUUUACUUACCGAGUUGACGGCUCACCCCUCGUCAUUACUUUUUGCAGAUUAAAUUUCUUUUGAGAGGUGCCCUUAGCUUUGGAGUUAGUAAUUUUCUGUUUCCGUUUGCCAUUUGAAUAAGAUGAGGAAUAGACUCAUGUUUCUAUUUAGUUUAUUUCUGUUAUGGACGUGUAAUUUGGAGUUUGAGACUUUUGUUAUUUUUUUUAUGUCCUCGGGAGAGAUUAUUUAGUAUUAGACGUUUGAAUUUGUGGAUUUAUUCGAAUAAGAAUUUGAGGUAUUUCAGUUUGAAACUUAUGAGUAAAGAUUAUGAUUUGUAAGUAACCUCCUUCUUCACGUGCUCCGCACGUGUUAGAUUUGGGGUGUUACAAUUGUGGUAUCAGAGCAUUAGGUUUGGGAUUCUGUAGACUUUAUUUGAGACUAGAUUUCUUAAGCACAAUCAAUUAGUUCAAUGGUAUUGCUUGCCAUGAGGUUAUCAGAAAGAGUAGAUCUUUAAGGCGAGGAGUAAUUUUGGUCUUUUUGAUUUUCUAGUUGCUUGUGACUUUGUAAUAACUCCUUGAUAUAGGAUUUUGGUAUUAACGUAGAAUGAAAUAUUUGUUUGCUCUUGUUGUCAAUCACUAAUGUUUCUCAGUUAUACUACUUACUCAGUACUUUGCGCACUAGCAAGGCCUUUAACUAUGAAUUAUUUACCGUUUUAUUUAUUUAUUUAUUUUUAUUCUUCGUGUUAUAGUCAAAAGAUGUUGCGUAGGGGAGGUGCUAGGCAUGCCUCUAGCUCGAGAGAUGUUUUAGGAAUCGCUGAUGACGUUGACCCAACCUUGCGUGAGAUGGCUAACGAAGGGAAUCCUAUGAUGCGCGCAAUGGUUAGAUUGAUGGAACAACAAAGUAAGUUGAUUCAAGAUAUGGCUAGAGGUAAAGUUGGGGCACAGGAGAAUGUGCCAGUUGAAAGACAAGGUGGUGGAAGAGAUCAGGGAGGUAUGAUGAGCUUAGAGCGGUUUAGGAAAUUGGGACCACCUACCUUUCAGGGGACUGCCGAUCCUAUGGUUGCAGAGGCAUGGUUAAGACAGAUGGAGAAAAUAUUUAUGGCUAUGGGUUGUAAUGAUGAUCAUAGGGUGAUAUUGGCCUCAUUCGUCCUUUAGGGCGAGGCAGACCACUGGUGGGAUGCCAAAUCCCGUCUUUUGAGGGCCGGGUUACAAGAUGCACCUAUUACUUGGGAGUUAUUUCUGGAGGCUUUUCAUGAAAAAUAUUUUCCUGAACGAGUUCGACAUCAGAUGGAGGUUGACUUCCUGAAAUUGACUCAAGGAACAAAGUUUGUUGCGGAGUAUGAGGAGCAAUUUACUGCUCUAUCUCAUUUUUCUCCUACCUUAGUUGCUAAUGAGGGUAGUAAGUGUAGGAAAUUCUUGGAAGGGUUACAUCCAAACAUCAAAAGACGGUUGACCAUCCUUAAGCUUAAUAAUUAUGCCGAUUUGGUGGAUCGUGCGAUUAUUGCAGAGAGGGAUAUAAUUCAAUCUCAAGUUGCACGAUCUAAUCGACAUAAUAACCAGCCAAUAAAACAUGAUAGUAAUGGUAGCGAAGGUGAACAUAAGGACUCUAAUGGUGGGUCUAUUCAAGAGAACAAACCAUUCUGUAAUCGUUGUGACAAGUACCAUAAUGGCACGUGCUAUUUAAAGAUAGAAGCUUGUUUUGGCUGUGGAAAGAUGGGGCAUAAGGUUAUAGAUUGCCCAAAAAAGCGCAGUGGUAACAUAGAUUCUGCCGAGAACCAAAGGAAAAAGCCAUGUGUCUUCGCCAUGGUGGAGCAAGAUAUUAAGAAACCGAAUAACGAAGCCUCAGGUGCAUUACCUAUUUUCCAUAGAAAGCCUUGAAUUUUUGAGUAAUUGGUAUUGUGCUUUUCCUCCAUCCUUUCUGAUUGGAUGCAUCGUAGCUAGAGUUUUUAGCCUAAUAAUUUCUUUUUUCAUCCAUUGAAUUUCUAUGGUACAUUAGUAGGAUAUGACGUGUGAUUUUAUAAGGCCAUUAGGAUUAACUUAUGGUUGGAUGGAGUAGGGACUAAUAUGAUAUUUAGUAGGAUAUGUGAUGAAGAUUGCAAUAAAAGUGUUUCACCAGCAAUGUGCGAGCGCAUUGAACAGUUUUGAAGUUGAAUGUGAAGUGAUAAAAAAUAUUCGCCAUCGAAACCUUAUCAAUGUUAUUGGCAGUUGUUCGAACGAUGACUUCAAAUCAUUAGUCCUAGAAUACAUGUCCAACGGGAGCUUGGAGGAUUGGCUGCAUUCUAGCAAUUAUGUGCUUAAUAUUUUUCGCAGGUUGAACAUAAUGAUUGACGUUGCAUCAGCUUUAAAAUAUCUCCACUUCGAUCAUUCAACUCGUAUCAUUCAUUGUGACUUAAAGCCUAAUAAUGUGUUGUUGGGUGAAAAUAUGGUUGCUCAUUUGAGUGAUUUUGGCAUAGCAAAGCUUUUAAGUGGAAGAUGAGUCUACGAUGCGAACAAAAACCCUUGCCACUAUAGGUUAUACGGCACCAGGUUUGCUUGAAACAACUUUUUUUUUUAGUUUAUUUUAAAAUUUCCAAAUUAUUGAUUUUUACGAUCCUCAUAUCAAAAUGUUAUUGAUUAUUUAUCUAAUUAUGAAAUAAUUUAAUUCAUAGAGUAUGGCAUAGAAGGAGAAAUAUCUGCAAAAAGUGAUGUUUACAGCUAUGGGAUUAUGUUGAUGGAAACUUUUACCAAGAAAAAACCCACAGAUGAGAUUUUUGUUGGAGAAUUGAGCUUAAAGCGUUGGGUUAAUGACUUGCUUCCUAAUUCAUUAGUGGAAGUUGUGGACAAAAUUCUGAUAAUUGGAGAGGAAAAACAUUUUGCCGCAAAGGAGCAAUGUCUGUUCUCUAUCUUUAUUUUGGCUCUGGAGUGUACAAUGGAAUCACCGGAAAAGAGGAUCAAUACAAAAGAUAUUGUUACCAGAUUACUCAAGAUAAGAGACACAUUGAGUAAAAGGAUAGGAAAUUUAAGUUAAUUUUGUUUGCUUUCAUUGAUAGUUACUUUGAAUUCAUGUAAUAAGUGUAAGAAUCGUUUAUCUUUUCUUUUGAUAUUUUUUUCUUGAGAAAACUGUUGUAGUCAUCUUUUUUCAAUGGGCAGAGUUGAUUUAGUUCUUCCAAGAAAUGCUAUUGUUGAUCUUUGUUAUAUACUUUUGUCUUUUUUUGCAUGCAUUUAGGUAGAAUAGUGGUCUAGCUGCAGGCUAACAAGUCAAGCUACGCUAAAAGGGUAUGAUUUAAUUUAUUAAACCUAACUUCAAGUUCAAGAAUUGUAUCUCAUUGCCACCAAUGCUUUAGACACCUAUUGGUAGGUUUGUGUCCUCAACUUUGUUUAGAGCAAAAGUUCCAGUCCCAUGGAGGCUCAAAUAUUCCUCUCCUACGUCCCGAACACACUAAAUUCAUCAGCCUCUUGAACCCUCUCCUGAGGGCGCCUUCUGUCCUCUGUUUUCUGUUUCCAUACACAAAUAGCAAAAAGAAUUCAGAAUGACAACUGGGACAUAUAUAAGAGUGAAAUAAUUAAAAAAAAUUAUGCUUUUUUGUUUGUCGUGUUAAAAUCGUAAGGUAUCUAAGUACUAUGAAAGAGAUUAGUUUACGAAAACUGAAGCCAAGGGUUCAUAAAAAAGUGCAAAGAGAAUAAAGGACAACGCUUAUGUAAAGCGACAUAAUUGUAUUGGUAGCACAAUGUCACGUUCAUACAGAGAUCAAGUACAUUAUUUACAGCUGGUAAGGGCUAAGAAUUGAUGUAGCUAGAAUACAAAUAUGAUAAGGUAUGUUGUGCACUAUUGUUUUAUUCUACAAUCAAUCUUGACCCUUGAUGCUUGGCUCUCAAUCUUGUCCAUUGAUCUUCUCUGAUCUCGAAAACUUCAAGACCUUUCAAUCUCAUGCCUUAUUAUUGGUAUGUUCUAUGCUGUUAAUUUCAAAUACUAGCUUUUCCGCCAACUUGCCAAUUAUUUGUUCAUUGGUGCGUUCUGUCAAACAGUGUGGAUACUUAUACCAAACGCUUUCUGUUUUAACUCCCCCUUUCAAGCUCAACUAUCUGGGAAGACACUAAUAAGCUUGUUUCUCAAGUAUAUGUAUCUGAAAAUUAAAUUUUCAAAAUUAUAUUCGGACUCUACAUUUUCUAAUGAACAUUGGUUUGGCUCAUAAGCUUAUUAUACUUGGGCUUGGUAGGAUUAUCGGUCGGUAGAUGAACAAGUGUUAGAGCUUUCGAAUUUAUGCCAAUUAAAAAAAAAUCUAUAUAAAUUUUCCACUAGGCUAUUACCACAAUAAACAUUUGGAUGAACUAUUAUUGAAACCUUAUUGAGAAGUAGGACAUGUCGCAUACCAAUGCACUGACAUAUCUUCAAAUAGUGGUAACUCCACACAACAUGGCACAAUAAAUUAGAGUUAUAUAGAUAAAAUCUUUCACUCUUUGGUAAUCAUCAAUGUCGGCAUGGCAAUGCGUCCGACAAAAUUCAUAAAUCAAAACAAAAAUAGAGAAUCAUAUUUGUUUCAGAUUGUAGUGAUGGUUGUUCAUAAUUCACAAUUUUAUUUAAUAUCUUCAAAUUCGCAUUUUAAAAUGCACAAAUGUUUGUGUAUACAUAAUUAGUAAUCGAUUCUCAAGCUUGGACAUUUAAAAGCACUGCUAAAAGACAAAAUUUUAAUUCACUAUUUUUUGUCUUUUAAUUUUCUUUAAGUUUUAAUGAUUCCGCAUUUUAAAAUCCUGUGGAACGUACAUGUAAAAUUCUUUUAUCUUUUAGAGGAAAAUGGGCAAGAGAAGAAGAUUUGGCAAAGGAAUUGCAACCGCAUUUGGAGCUAGUUUUAAUUUUGUCUUUUAAUUCUUUUACACUUGGCUUUUGUUAUUGAUGUCAACUUCGAUGUGUGUGCGUGUGCGACUGAAUUCAACUUACAUGCUAUUGAUGCAGCCACCAAAAAGGGGUGGUCCAUCAUCAAUCAACAAGGUUUAUUAUUAUUUCCAUAUUGAUUUUCUUAAUUAUAAAUAAUACUAAUGUUAUUUCAUAGUUAUAAAUAUAUUAGAAUUAAUCGAAAUCAUUUUUUAGUGUGGCAUGGCUAAAACUACCUUUUUUUUUUAUAAGUAAUUACUACUUUCACAUUAAGAAAAAUACUCCUAUUUUUAAGGAAAAGUCAAGUACCUGUAGUUGUGAAGACUCAAGCUCACUCCCUUAUGAUAAAUCUUCAUAUUAAUUACGUAAAUAUCCUCUAAAAUUUUAAAUUAGCUAUUCAAAAUUUGAUGUUAUACGGGUAUUUCAUUUAUUUGAGUAGGGGUUAGGGGUCAAUUGGAUACAAAUUCAAAAUUAUCCUUACUUGAGAAGGUGAUAAAAAUUGGGGAUUUAGUUUGGAUGUCAUUAGCUACAAAUAUUAAACUCAUACAUUUAAUUCAAAAUUAGAGGGCUGAUAUGUGCGCAUCAUCGUCCACGUUAUAGUGACACUGCGUCACCAUUCCACAACCUCUCCAAUGAAAAAUUGACAUGCUUCUUGUGCGCAUCUAAUCAGAAUCUUGAAAAUUAAUCACAAAAUUGUACUUUUAUUAUAAAAAGAAUAAAGAAACUCCAAGAAAAAAAAAAAGACUUACAUAAAUAGAUUGAAAAAUCUAGAUUUCAAGUUGUCUAUAUUAGCUUGAUAUUUUUAUUAAUAGUCAUCCUCCCAAAAAAAUUCCAUCAAAAUAUAUUUUAAUUUUAUGUUAAUUCAUAAACAUGAAAAAAUCAUUUUAGAAUUAAUUAAAACAUAAUUUAUUGUUGCUCAAAAAAGGUAGAACUUAGUUAUCAGAAAAAAGUGUCUAAAAUAUAUGUUAAAAAAAAAUCAUGGUUGGUUGGACUGAUUGAAUUUUUUUUUUCUUUUUUAAGAAUUAAGACAAUUGGAUGGAUUGAGUAAUAAUAAUACAUAUUUAUUUGGCAAAUGGCAGGGAGGCUUUCGUCUGAUGCAGAUUGAUUAGAGAGAAAAUAUAACAAUUUUAAGCUCGUCAGAUUCGAAGCUGCUUACCUGUCGUGUGGGGAUCACUUCCGUGUCUUAUUUUUCUAGAAAAAUCUGGACCAUUGGAUUUACCAUUAGUCAAUAGAGAAAUGUUGAUCUUGAUUCUUGAUCAAGAUCGAAGUUUGAUUCUAACUAACACGAUAUCAGAUUGCGAAGCAAGCAAAUUGAAAGUCACUUGUUCUAUGGAAGAAACACAAGUUCUAAUAAAACAUUCUCAUAGUAAAGUGAAUUACCAUCCAACGAUCCAACUCAUGUUUUCAAAUUGUAAAUUGCAAAUCGUGUGUUUGCUCCAUUACAGAGUUUCUUCAAUCUGAAAUAGCGAAUCAUUUGUGUUCUAGAUUAAUCGUGGGUCUAUAUCCAAAUCUAAAAAUUGACUAACUUGAUUUCUAUUAAAUUCUUAAUCCUAACAAGAAAAAUUGAAGAUUAAAAACGACUAAUUUGGUACCAUACCACUAUUGUAACAUAGGUAGAUCCUCUAUUAAUUGGAGUAAAGAUUGAAUUAUCUCAUUUAUUAAGGUUUAUCAAAAUCUUGUGUCAAAAUCUAUUAAUGAUAUAGGUUCAAGGAUGAAAAAGUCACUGCAUUACUUUUGAGUUCCCAAAUAGAUGAAUGGAUGUUAUUUUUAGAUUCCGGAGAGUCGAAAAUAUUAAGAUAGGUGCUAAAUCGAAUUAAGUUGUAGAUACGAUAGAAAUGGAUUUGGAGAGAUUGGAAUCCUAGGUAAUCCGGUGCACGUUGUCGUGUUAAAUUCUCGUUGACUUCACGUUGACUGAAGCAUUAUUGGAAGAAACAAGUUUAUUGAUGUGAGGCCUUUGAGGUUGUAAGUGUUAAAUCUGAGAAGAAUACCCACACACCCAUUAUCCUAUUACUCUUAUAUCACAUGAAGAGAAUUCAACAUUUGAUUCACACGGAAAAAAUUUGUGAGGAAUGUGAGGGUUGAUGGAAUAUAAUUUAGAUACAAAGUGUUUACCAGUGCGAUGCUUCGCAAGUGUUCUUGAAUCAAUAUAAACUCACAUUAUUUUCAUAGUGAUUGUUUCAUCUGCACGUUAAUAUAAUCACAUGUCGAGAUUUUUUUCCUUAAAUUAUGGUCUUAUUUAGUAUUGAGGUGUUAUAUCUUUUAAGGUACAAUUAUUGUUGGAAAAAAGUUACAACUAUCAAAUAAAAUUAAUACUAUGUGCUAAAUAUAAUUGUUAAAUAAUAAUUUUGACAAAAUUAGUGAAGUUAUAUAGAUUUUUUUCAUCAUCCAAGUAUAAAAUCAAAUCAACUUAACUUCUAAGUUAUAUAUCGGCUACUGUUUAUCAUAUGUUUUAGUUUUGUAACUUUUAAAUUAUAGUUACCCAACCUCAAUUCUAAACAAGACCUAUAAAGAUCAAAGAUUUCCUCAUUAAAUUAUAUGUCUUGUGAUUGCUUAUUUAAUUUAUAUUUUUGUUAUUUAUCUUUAUUAAUUAUAAUCAUCUUUUUAUAAAUUAAAAUUGAAGGAAGUUGAUUGAUGUUGUUGACACACACACGCACGCGCACGCACACACUCACAAAGAUAUAUUGGAAGUGCUUACGUCGACUCGAAGUUGUUGGGAAUUAAUGCAUGUAUUGAUUUAUUGGGAGUGUUUAAAUGAUUUUGUGAUUUACUUGAUUUAUUGAUUGAAUAUUGUUUGAUUGCUUCAUAUCCAUUCUAGAAAGUUUAUUUCUUUGUGAAAGUUCAACGAAAUAUGUUUUUUUUUUUAAAUAAGGGUGUUCUAAAUAAUUUUAAAAAAUAUAUGCUUGUCUUCCCAAAAUAGCCUUUGAAUACACAAGUAAAUGUCUAGCCUUUGGUGAGGAUAGUUUGGUCAUUGCAUUUUACAAGUAAGAUGAGUGGUGGAGAAAAAUGAGGAGUGCACAUAACUCUUCAGCAAAUCCCACCAACAAUUCCAUUUUCUUAAUUAAUUAAUCUCCUUUUUUAUCCCCAAACAAAUCCUAAUGAUACUAUUAUCAGGUUUAAAACAGUACACAAAUAGUGAAAAGCUAACUAGUCUGUAGAGUAAUUUGCUAAUUGCUAUCUCCUCUCUAUGCUCGCUGAAUAAUUUGUUGCAUGCAAACUUUUUAUUUUAUGCAAAUCAUACGUACUGUAACAUUGGAAUUGAUGUAUAAGCAAAAAUACAAUAAUAUUUAUGUCAAUACAAAUAGUUUUUUUUCCCUUUUUAAAUAAACACAACGCGAUGUUGCUCUGCUCUACAUUUUUGCUAUCUCUUUAUUAUUAUUAUUUUUUUUUGGGCUUCUUAAAGCCUCAAACUUUGAUAACCAAAACUUCAUCGACCUAUGAAAAAAUCUGCAGAUUAGUUUUUAUUAUCGGAAUAAUUGUUUGAGAAUACUAAAACAAAAUAUAAAAUAAGAAAAUACGGGGUUAAAUUUGGGGAAAACAAAAAGGCAUGUUGGAUAGAUUACUAUAGUUUAAGGGGAAAAAAAAAUUCAAUUGGAAAUUUUUUUCUUUAAUUUUUGUUUUACUUGAUUGAGAUUUCUCCUUAGUCCUUACAGUUUUAAGUUUGGAUGCCGUAGGGUUAGUAAUUUAGUAUUUCCCUUGCAAGCUGAGCUUAAGGAUGAAAUUUCUUUUAAGAAAUUAAAAAAGAUUAAAAAAAGCAUACCAAUAGGUAAUUAUAAAUAACCAUAAAUAAACAUAAACAAAAUGUUUAUGAAGUAAAUUACACAUGCACAUAUUAUUUUUUUGUUAUAUUUCUUACUUGUCUAUUUUAUUUGCUGCUUGAUAACCCGUAAAUACUAAUCUAGUACUGCUAAUUUCAGACACAAAAUGUUUAACUCUAGGCUGCAGUUUUACUCAAAAUGAUGACCACUGGCUUCGCACCAUUUAACCGGCAUACAUUUCUACAAAUUGAACAAGGCUAUUGAUUUUCAUUAUUAUUUUUUAUUUAUUUAUAAAUUACUAUUUUAAUUUUCACUUUUUAUUGGGUUGUUUACAGAUUAGUGAAGUUGGUGGUCGUGAUGCACUCACAAGGUACAAUUUUAUUUUAUAAUUUCAAAUUUGUAUUUUAAAAUGCAGGUACAUUAUGUAUACAUAAUUAUUGAUUUUCAUAUGUGGGUGUUUUGAAAUAUUGCUAAAAGACCAAACUUUAAUAAACUAUUUUUUAUCUUUUUUUUUCCUAAAGUUUGAGUGAUAUCCGCAUUUUAAAUUCAUGUGGAACAAAAGCUAAUGUAUGCUCAAAAUUCUUUUAUUUUUUCCGAGAAGAAUGGGUAAGAGAAGAAGAUUUUUCUGUUGAAAAAGAAAAACUAAUACGAUGCAAGCAUAGGAAAGAGGUCAGUGUUUUGGAUUAGAAUUUAGUAUUGAGCUGAAUUUUAUACUAAACUCUUUUAUAGUACUGCGAUUAAUAAACUCAUGAUUUGCUUUUGCUUUUACUUCAAGUGAAAGAAAGAGGAAACCGUUUGAUUUUUGUUUGAUUCUUGACUAUAGAUGUUACCUAUAUAGAGAGUUGAGGUAGCUGCCUUAAGUGAUGGUUAUAAAAAGAUUAAGCAGCGCACACAAUCUUACUGUCGUCCAGACCAUCCAGCUAUGAUGACUCUAGUUUUUUGGUUACAUUAACUUUAGUGGAAAGGAGGGCCAAUUUAACAAAGACUAGAUUUGGUGGCUUACUAUAAUGCUUAUUCUCAGGGAAUCUAAUGUUAUAAGAUGAUUUAAUGAUCUUCUAUGAUUGUGAGUAGUAUAGUAUAAUUGAAAAGAGCUUGGGCUCCUAUGAUGAAUAUUUAAUAGUAACACAGUACUGUUAUUGAAAAAAACACAGUUACAAUAAACUCUUCAUUUAUUCAUUGUGGAGAUUGAAUGGCAAACAGAGAAUAAAAUGAAGCAGAGGAAUCUCAUUGCCAGUAAAAUUGACCCUCUUUAAUGUUAUAUGGCACAGGUGUGUGUACAGCAAGAUCAAGUUACUUGCAGUUUUUAUUGUAAAAUAUAUAGGUUAUGACCAUGAUCAUUGUAGUUAGGUUUUGAUGAUUUUAGAUGCUUUUUUUAUUUUUUUUAAAAUUGUGACACCUUUGAUUUAUGGUAGCUUUGCAGAAGAAAAAUAUAUAUAUAUAAAUUAGGAGGGAUGAGUUAACUAACGAUUGCAAUCAUUACAGUAAUGUUGAUGAGUGAUACAUCAUUUGAAAUUUACUUGUCAGUUACUGAAAUGAUGAAAAAAAACAAUAAACAAUAGCAGUAAUAUUUUUAUGGAAAAUCUUGGUUUUUAUGGAAAUACUCUUGCUGAAAUUCUAAUUUUGACUUUCAACUCUUGGUUUUUAUGGAAAGUAAAAUGACUUGUUUGUUAUAUUCAUACAAUCCACUCUACAUAAUGAUUUCAUUUUAAUAAAUGCUUGAUGAUCUCCACUGAAAAACUACUUCAAUUCUUUUGUUUUAUUUAACUUUUUGGUUGUUGAAAAUAGCCUUAAUUUUCAAAUAAUUGGAGAAAGAGUAAAGAACAUUUAACAAAUUUAUGUGCCAAAAAUAAAGGAGAAAUUGAAGAGAAAGGGUGCUUGCAGAAGUGGGUGCAAAGAUAAAUCAGUCCAUAAGAAUUAUUGUGGUUAUUAAGUUUUUGGCAAUAUAAAAAUUUUUCAGCAAAUAAAAAUUGAUUUUUUCCGAUUUACUAAAAAAUUAAUUAAAAACUUCGGUGAUAGCAUUUUUUAUGGGUGCAUGUACCCUCCCUUUAAAAAAAAUAUAAUAAUUAAUACUUAAUAUAGUAUUAAAUACGAAAAUAUCAAUAUUUGACUACACAAAUUUAUAUCAUUAGGUCCUUAAAAUUUAAAAUUGAAGACACAAAAUGAAAUAUAUAUAAAUUUCAUUCUCACAGGAAAGGAUCCUCUUAUAAUCUUAAAAUAUUUGAGCUUUGAAAGAUUUUUUAAAACAAAUGUACUUUUAUUUUUGUACAAUCAAUAUUUACUUAUUUAUUAUAUUUUUAUUCAUUAACUAUCAAUCAUGUGAGUAUAUUUACUCAGAAAUAUCAUAUCAAGGAAGAAUCUUGAUCCCACGCACACACAAAUAUGUUAAUUUCUAUACGCUUCACUUACCUGUAGAAUCAAUUAUCUAAAAUGCAAGUUUGUGGCCACAAAAAAAGCCAAAGAAAGAAGAUAAUAACAAUUGACUUGUAUAUUAUACUCAUACAAUCCACUCGACAUAAUGAUAUCAUUUUAAUAAGGCAAUGGCUGAUGAUCUCCAUUGAAAAACCAAUUCAAUUUUUUUGCUUCAUUUAACUUUUUGGUUGUUGAAAAUAACCUUAAUUAUCAAAUAAUUGGAGAAAGAGUAAAGAACAUUUAACAAAUUUAUGUGCAAAAAAAAAAAAAAAAAAAGGAGAAGUUGAAGGGAAAGGGUGCUUGCAGAAGUGGGUGUCAAAGAAAAAUCUGUCCAUAAGAAUUAUUGCGGUUAUUUUUUGGCAAUAUAAAAUUUUUAUAGCAAGUAAAAAUUAAUUUUUUCCAAUUUACUAAAAAAUUAACUAAAAACUUCUGCGACAACAUUUUUUAUGGGUGCAUAUACCCGCCCUUUAAAAAAAAAAAUAAUUAAUGCUUAAGUUAGUAUUAAAUACGAAAAUAUCAAUAUUUGACUACUCAAAUUUAUAUCAUUAGGUCCUUAAAAUUUAAAAUUGAAGAUACUAAAGGAAAUAUAUAUAAAUUUCAUUCUCAUGGAAAGGAUUCUCUUAUAAUCUUAUAAUAUUUGAGUUUUGAAAUUUUUUUGAAACAAAUGUAAUUUUAUUUGUGUACAAUCAAUAUUUACUUAUUUAUUAUAUUUUAAUUUAUUAACUAUCAAUCAUGUAAGUAUAUUUAGUCAGAAAAAUUAUAUCGAGAGAGAAUCCUAAUUUCACGCAAACACAAAUACAAGACAAAUAUGUUAAUUUCUAUACUAUUCACUUUCCUGUAGAAUCAAUUAUCUAAAAUGCAAGUUUGUGGCUAUAGAAAACUCGCCAAAGAAAGAAGAUAAUAACAAUUGAGCAUUGAUAGCAAAACUAAUGCAUCAUUUUCUUCUUGACUUGAUGAGAUGGUGCCAUUACAAAACAAUAAUUACCUUAAUUGACGGGCACUGAGUGAUGUGAAUACUACCAGCCAGUUCAUCUCUUCCAGUCUUGCUUAAUCACAAUCACAAACACCACGAGAUUGACAUUUGCAUUAUAUAUAUCUUCAGCAAUCGAAACACCUUGCAUUACCAAAUUAACCGGUAACAAACAAAGCAACCUUUCAUGGAGAGAAACUUUAGUCUCAGUAUGAUCACUGUGUCAUUAACCCACUUCCUGCUUCUUUGCUUGGUUGUUGCAGCAGCAGCAGCAGCAGCAAGCAACAAUAUUACCACAGACCAACAAGCUCUUCUUGCCCUGAAAGAUCAUAUAACUUAUGAUCCAACCAAACUUUUUGCCCAUAAUUGGACCUCGAAUACCUCUGUUUGCACCUGGAUUGGCCUCAGUUGUGAUGUCAAUAGCCAUAGAGUCACAGCCUUAGAUAUUUCUCAAUUCAAUAUACAAGGCACCAUCCCUCCUCAACUUGGAAACCUCUCUUCACUCACAACACUUAAUCUUAGUCGUAAUAAGCUUUCUGGAAGCAUUCCCCCCUCCAUCUACACCAUGCAUACGCUAAAAUUUCUAGACUUCACUGAUAACCUGCUCUCUGGUUCAGUGUCUUCCUCCGUCUUCAACAUGUCUUCAAUAUUAGACAUUCGUUUGACCAAUAACAGACUUUCUGGUGAGCUUCCGAAAAAUAUUUGCAACUAUCUUCCUUACUUGAAAGCCCUUUUUCUGGACAAAAACAAGUUGCAUGGCAAAAUUCCUUCAGCUUUAUCAAAUUGCAAACAACUGCAACAAUUGCAUUUGCAGUUCAAUAAUUUAUCCGGUGCAAUACCGAAAGAAAUCGGCAACUUGACUAUGCUCAAAUGGAUAGAUCUCGGCUACAACAAACUCCACGGUAUGUUUCAUAAUGCUAUCUAAAUAUUUUAAUUUAUCACUUGUUUAUUUUAAUUUCUCACUUGUUAUUUUUCUUGAAUACUUUAGAUAAGAUCUAGUAAGUGAGAUUUUUUGCAUCUAUGUUAAUUUACCAGGUGAGAUACCCCCCGAAAUCGCUAAUCUUCGAAAUCUAGAGGCUUUGGUGCUUGGAAUGAACAACCUAGUGGGUGUGUUACCAGCUACAAUCUUCAACAUGUCAACACUGAAGGUAGUUAUCCUCAUUAAUAACUCUCUCUUCGGAAGUCUCCCAUCAAGAAUAGACCUUUCACUUCCAACUAUUGAGCACCUUAACUUGGCACUUAAUAGAUUUUCUGGAACCAUUCCUAGUUCCAUCACCAAUGCUUCUAAGCUCACCUUUCUAGAGUUGGGAGGAAACACAUUUUCGGGCUUUAUUCCGAACACAAUUGGUAAUUUAAGAAACCUUGAGUGGCUCAGCUUGGGUAAUAACUACUUGACAUCUUCAACCUCAAAAUUGAGCUUUCUUUCCUCUUUGGCAAAUUGCAAGAAAUUAAGAGACAUAGGCUUAACAGGCAAUCCACUCGACGGUAUCCUUCCAAGUUCAAUAGGUAAUCUUUCCAUGUCUUUGAAAACACUUUACAUCGGCAAUUGCAGUAUUAGUGGCAACAUUCCUCAAUCAAUUGGCAAUUUAAGCAACUUAUUGGCCUUAGUAUUAGAAGGCAAUAAAUUGACCGGACCAAUCCCAACUACAUUCGGCCAACUGCAGAAACUCCAAGGCUUAUUUCUUACAUUCAAUAAGUUGGUAGGUUCAUUCCCAGAUGAGCUUUUCCAUCUAGCUAGGCUGGAUAAAUUGGUAUUAUUGGGAAAUAAGCUUUCAGGAUCUAUGCCUUCAUGCUUAAGUAACCUCACUUCUCUGAGAUCUCUCUACUUAGGGUCCAAUAGGUUUACUUCUGUUAUUCCCUCAACUUUCUGGAGCCUAAAAGACAUCUUGUUCUUUGACUUUUCAUCAAAUUUCUUGGUUGGUACUCUUUCUUUCGACAUAGGUAAUUUGAAGGUGCUUCUAGGAAUAAGUUUAUCAGAAAAUAACUUAUCGGGUGAUAUGCCAGCCACAAUUGGAGGGAUAAAAAAACCUUCAAAUUAUGGACCUAGCAUAUAAUAGAUUGGAAGGGCAAAUUCCUGAAUCAUUUGGUGACUUGACAAGUUUGGAGGUUUUGAAUUUGUCAAAUAAUAAAAUCUCUGGGUCUAUUCCAAAAUCCAUGGAGAAACUCUUUUACCUCCGAGAGUUAAAUCUCUCUUUCAAUGAACUAGAAGGUGAGAUUCCUAGUGGAGGAAUUUUUGCCAACUUCACAGCUGAGUCAUUUAUGGGAAAUGAGUUAUUGUGUGGUUUACCAAAUCUUCAAGUCCAACCAUGCAAAGUUAGCAAGCCGAGGACAGAACAUAAAUCAAGGAAAAAGAUACUUCUCAUUGUGAUUGUUUUGCCAUUGAGUAUUGCUCUAACAAUAGCAAUCACUCUACCUCUCAAAUCUAAGCUGAUCGAAUGUGGAAAAAGAAGCACAGUGUUGUCAAAUGAUAGUGUCUUGUCAUCACAAGCAACACUAAGAAGAUUUUCAUACUUAGAACUUUUACAAGCAACAGAUAAUUUUGCUGAAAACAACGUAAUUGGCAUAGGAGGUUUUGGUUCUGUUUACGGUGGAAGACUUGAAGAUGGGAUGAAGAUUGCAAUAAAAGUGUUUCACCAGCAAUGUGCAAGCGCAUUGAAGAGUUUUGAGGCUGAAUGUGAAGUGUUAAAAAAUAUUCGCCAUCGAAACCUUAUUAAAGUUAUCAGCAGUUAUUCAAACAAUGACUUCAAAGCAUUAGUUCUAGAAUACAUGUCCAACGGGAGCUUAGGGGACUGGCUGCAUUCUAGCAAUUAUGUGCUGAAUAUAUUUCAGAGGUUGAACAUAAUGAUUGAUGUUGCAUCAGCUUUAGAACAUCUCCACUUCGAUCAUUCGACUCCUAUUAUUCAUUGUGACUUAAAGCCUAGUAAUGUAUUGUUGGACGGAAAUAUGGUUGCUCAUUUGAGUGAUUUUGGCAUAGCAAAGCUUUUAAGUGGAGAGGAUGAGUCUAUGAUGCGAACAAAAACCCUUGCCACUAUAGGUUAUAUGGCACCAGGUUUGCUUCAAACAACUUUUUUUUUUUAGUUCAUUUUAAAUUUUGCAACUUAUUGAUUUUUACGAUCCUCACAUCAAAAUGUUAUUGAUUAUUUAUCUAAUUUUGAAAUUAAUUUGAUUCAUAGAGUACGGCAUAGAAGGAGAAGUAUCUACAAAAAGUGAUGUUUACAGCUAUGGGAUUAUGUUGAUGGAAACUUUUACCAAGAAAAAACCCACAGAUGAAAUUUUUGUUGGAGAAUUGAGCUUGAAGCGUUGGGUUAAUGACUUGCUUCCUACUUCAUUAGUGGAAGUUGUGGACAAAACUCUGCUAAGUGGAGAGGAAAAACAUUCUGCAGCAAAGGAGCAAUGUCUGUUGUCUAUCUUUAGUUUGGCUCUGGAGUGUACAAUGGAAUCACCGGAAAAGAGGAUUAAUGCAAAAGAUAUUGUUACAAGAUUACUCAAGAUAAGAGACACAUUGAGUAAAAGGAUAGGAAAUUUAAGUUAAUUUCGUUUGCUUUCAUUGAUAGUUAAUUCGAAUUCAUGUAAUAAGUCUAAGAAUCUUAUAUCUUCAAAUUCGCAUUUUAAAAUGCACAAAUGUUUGUGUAUACAUAAUUAGUAAUCGAUUCUCAAGCUUUGGACAUUUAAAAGCACUGCUAAAAGACAAAAUUUUAAUUCACUAUUUUUUUGUCUUUUAAUUUUCUUUAAGUUUUAAUGAUUCCGCAUUUUAAAAUCCUGUGGAACGUGCAUGUAAAAUUCUUUUAUCUUUUAGAGGAAAAUGGGCAAGAGAAGAAGAUUUGGCAAAGGAAUUGCAACCGCAUUUGGAGCUAGUUUUAAUUUUGUCUUUUAAUUCUUUUACACUUGGCUUUUGUUAUUGAUGUUAACUUCGAUGUGUGUGCGUGUGCGACUGAAUUCAACUUACAUGCUAUUGAUGCAGCCACCAAAAAGGGGUGGUCCAUCAUCAAUCAACAAGGUUUAUUAUUAUUAAUUUCCAUAUUGAUUUUCUUAAUUAUAAAUAAUACUAAUGCUAUUUCAUAGUUAUAAAUAUAUUAGAAUUAAUCGAAAUCAUUUUUUAGUGUGGCAUGGCUAAAACUACCUUUUUUUUAUUAUAAGUAAUUACUACUUUCACAUUAAGAAAAAUACUCCUAUUUUUAAGGAAAAGUCAAGUACCUGUAGUUGUGAAGACUCGAGCUCACUCCCUUAUGAUAAAUCUUCAUAUUAAUUACGUAAAUAUCCUCUAAAAUUUUAAAUUAGCUAUUCAAAAUUUGAUGUUAUACGGGUAUUUCAUUUAUUUGAGUAGGGGUUAGGGGUCAAUUGGAUACAAAUUCAAAAUUAUCCUUACUUGAGAAGGUGAUAAAAAUUGGGGAUUUAGUUUGGAUGUCAUUAGCUACAAAUAUUAAACUCAUACAUUUAAUUCAAAAUUAGAGGGCUGAUAUAUGCGCAUCAUCGUCCACGUUAUAGUGACACUGCGUCACCAUUCCACAACCUCUCCAAUGAAAAAUUGACAUGCUUCUUGUGCGCAUCUAAUCAGAAUCUUGAAAAUUAAUCACAAAAUUGUACUUUUAUUAUAAAAAGAAUAAAGAAACUCCAAGAAAAAAAAAAGACUUACAUAAAUAGAUUGAAAAAUCUAGAUUUCAAGUUGUCUAUAUUAGCUUGAUAUUUUUAUUAAUAGUCAUCCUCCCAAAAAAAUUCCAUCAAAAUAUAUUUUAAUUUUAUGUUAAUUCAUAAACUUGAAAAAAUCAUUUUAGAAUUAAUUAAAACAUAAUUUAUUGUUGCUCAAAAAAGGUAGAACUUAGUUAUCAGAAAAAAGUGUCUAAAAUAUAUGUUAAAAAAAAAUCAUGGUUGGUUGGACUGAUUGAAUUUUUUUUUCUUUUUUAAGAAUUAAGACAAUUGGAUGGAUUGAGUAAUAAUAAUACAUAUUUAUUUGGCAAAUGGCAGGGAGGCUUUCGUCUGAUGCAGAUUGAUUAGAGAGAAAAUAUAACAAUUUUAAGCUCGUCAGAUUCGAAGCUGCUUACCUGUCGUGUGGGGAUCACUUCCGUGUCUUAUUUUUCUAGAAAAAUCUGGACCAUUGGAUUUACCAUUAGUCAAUAGAGAAAUGUUGAUCUUGAUUCUUGAUCAAGAUCGAAGUUUGAUUCUAACUAACACGAUAUCAGAUUGCGAAGCAAGCAAAUUGAAAGUCACUUGUUCUAUGGAAGAAACACAAGUUCUAAUAAAACAUUCUCAUAGUAAAGUGAAUUACCAUCCAACGAUCCAACUCAUGUUUUCAAAUUGUAAAUUGCAAAUCGUGUGUUUGCUCCAUUACAGAGUUUCUUCAAUCUGAAAUAGCGAAUCAUUUGUGUUCUAGAUUAAUCGUGGGUCUAUAUCCAAAUCUAAAAAUUGACUAACUUGAUUUCUAUUAAAUUCUUAAUCCUAACAAGAAAAAUUGAAGAUUAAAAACGACUAAUUUGGUACCAUACCACUAUUGUAACAUAGGUAGAUCCUCUAUUAAUUGGAGUAAAGAUUGAAUUAUCUCAUUUAUUAAGGUUUAUCAAAAUCUUGUGUCAAAAUCUAUUAAUGAUAUAGGUUCAAGGAUGAAAAAGUCACUGCAUUACUUUUGAGUUCCCAAAUAGAUGAAUGGAUGUUAUUUUUAGAUUCCGGAGAGUCGAAAAUAUUAAGAUAGGUGCUAAAUCGAAUUAAGUUGUAGAUACGAUAGAAAUGGAUUUGGAGAGAUUGGAAUCCUAGGUAAUCCGGUGCACGUUGUCGUGUUAAAUUCUCGUUGACUUCACGUUGACUGAAGCAUUAUUGGAAGAAACAAGUUUAUUGAUGUGAGGCCUUUGAGGUUGUAAGUGUUAAAUAUGAGAAGAAUACCCACACACCCAUUAUCCUAUUACUCUUAUAUCACAUGAAGAGAAUUCAACAUUUGAUUCACACGGAAAAAAUUUGUGAGGAUUGUGAGGGUUGAUGGAAUAUAAUUUAGAUACAAAGUGUUUUACCAGUGCGAUGCUUCGCAAGUGUUCUUGAAUCAAUAUAAACUCACGUUAUUUUCAUAGUGAUUGUUUCAUGUGCACGUGGAUAUAAUCACAUGUCGAGAUUUUUUUCCUUAAAUUAUGGUCUUAUUUAGUAUUAAGGUGUUAUAUCUUUUAAGGUACAAUUAUUGUUGGAAAAAAGUUGCAUCUAUCAAAUAAAAUUAGUACUAUGUGCUAAAUAUAAUUGUUAAAUAAUAAUUUUGACAAAAUUAGUGAAGUUAUAUAGAUUUUUUUUCAUCAUACAAGCAUAAAAUCAAAUCAACUUAACUUCUAAGUUAUAUAUCGGCUACUUAGGGAUGGCAAUGGAUUGGAUCUGACCCAAGAUCCACGUGAUCCAAAUCUAAUCGGAUCGGAUUUGGGUCAGUUUAAAAUGAAUUUGGAUCGGAUUUGGAUAUUGAUGUGCGGAUCUAAGACGGAUCUGGAGCAGGUCUGGAUCUAUCUUAGUAUCUAAAUCCAUAUCCAUAUCCACCCAUCUUUUAAUUUAAUUUUAUUUUAAAAGUUUCUUAACAAUUGUGGAAUUAUAAUGAUAAUGAAUUUUAUUCAUAGCAUAUUAGUGGUAUUUACCAUGCAUUUAAACUCUUUAAAAUUAAAGGUUAGUUUUGUAAAUUUAAAGACUAGCCAGGCCCAAAGCAUGUACAUGCAAUAUUCAAAUUGCAAGCCAAGUAAUACAACCUGGCAAUUUAUUUUAUUAUAUUGGCCAAAUAAUUUUUAAGGAAUAUAGGUAUUCAUAUAUUUUGUCAAAUAUGGUCAUAAUAAAAAUAAUAAAGGACUGAAUAUAAAUCAUAUUUUAUUUAUAUGUCAUUAUCUAAUAUUAUAAGAAUGAGGGUGGGUGUGUUGUAGAUAUUAGAAUGAUGAAUGAGACAAUAGAAUAUUAGAUUGAUCUUACUCCUGCAAUUACUUUUAAAGGAUAUUUUAUUAUCUUAUUUGUUGUUUUGGUGUAAAAGUAUAAGUUACAAUAUUUAUUAUAUUUUUGAGAAAAAUUAUAUAAUUUAUUUGUUAUCAAUACAUUUUAACCUUCAAUUUUCAUUCUAAAAAAUUAUUACUUUUUAAUUGAUGAGUUUUAGAAUUCAUGACAGAUCUAGAGCAGAUUUGGAUUUUAAUUUUUUUUUUCAGAUUUGGAGCAGAUAUAAAUAUUUAUUUCUUUUAUGGAUAUGGAUAUGGAGCGAAAAAUAUAGAUUCAUGAUGGAUCUGGAGCAGAUACGGAUCUUGAUUUUUAUUAUGGAUUUGGAUCUGGAGCAGAGUAGAUCCAACCCAUAUCUGCCCCAUUGCCAUCCCUACGGCUACUGUUAAUCAUAUGUUUUAGUUCUGUAACUUUUAAGUUAUAGUUACCCAAUCUCAAUUCUAAACCAGACCUAUAAAGAUCAAAGAUUUCCUCAUUAAAUUAUAUGUCUUGUGAUUGCUUAUUUAAUUUAUAUUUUUUUUUAUUUAUCUUUAUUAAUUAUAAUCAUCUUUUUAUAAAUUAAAAUUGAAGGAAGUUGAUUGAUGUUGUUGACACACGCACACACGCACACACUCACAAAGAUAUAUUGGAAGUGCUUACGUCGACUCGAAGUUGUUGGGAAUUAAUGCAUGUAUUGAUUUAUUGGGAGUGUUUAAAUGAUUUUUUGAUUUACUUGAUUUAUUGAUUGAAUAUUGUUUGAUUGCUUCAUAUCCAUUCUAGAAAGUUUAUUUCUUUGUGAAAUUUCAACGAAAUAUGUUUUUUUUUUUAAAUAAGGGUGUUCUAAAUAAUUUAAAAAUAUAUAUGGACUAAUUAGAAUUAAUUAUUAGGUAAUUAACUCAAUCUGUAUAGGGUGAAACAACAUUUAUCCUAAUUAUAUCAUGAUAAAUACUUUUCCUAUUAGAAUUAGGAAAUCAUAGGUUUAUUGAAUUGUUUUUUUUUUUCCUUUGCGGAAACGGAUUAGAGAAUUAGAAAACAAUCAUGUUGAUGUCAAAAUCUGAUCUAGUCGGUUAGCGACUUAAUAUCAUAUUACUGCACCAACAUUAAAUUUAUUGGGUGGAGAAUCGACUGGUCAAUUGUCAAGAUGUCCUGCAAUCACUAGCGAUUAACCUACGAAUACCUAAAAUCACAGAAGACGGUAAGAGGCACCGGAAGUUUUUUCGGCGUGAACCUUCCGACGCUCAAGUCAGUUUAUAGGUUUACCAUAAUAAAAAUAAAUAAUUUCUAUUUAAAAAAAAAUAGAGUUCAAAAGCUCAAAAAUAAAACCCAAUCCCAAUAUGAAAAUGAAUUUUUUUUUUUUUUUUUCUAGCUUGGCCGAAUCCUUCUGCCUCCUAAAGAAACAUAACAGAGAAGCAGGUAGCCAUGUUCCCUAGGUAACGCCCCACUCCCCUCUUUUAUUCCUCCCCCUCUCUUCCGUUUCCUUCUUUUGCUCACUAUCCUUCAUAAUUUUUUAUGCUUGUCUUCCCAAAAUAGCCUUUUAAUACACAAGUAAAUGUCUAGGCUUUGGUGAGGAUAGUUUGGUCAUUGCAUUUUACAAGUAAGAUGAGUGGUGGAGAAAAAUGAGGAGUGCACAUAUAACGCUUCAGCAAAUCCCACCAGCAAUUCCAUUUUCUUAAUUAAUUAAUCUCUUCAGCAAAUCCCACCAACUCUUCAGCAAAUCCUAAUGAUAUUAUUAUCAGGUUUAAAACAGUACACAAAUAGUGAAAAGCUAACUAGUCUGUAGAGUAAUUUGCUAAUUGCUAUCUCCUCUCUCCGCGCGCUGAAUAAUUUGUUGCAUGCAAACUUUUUAUUUUAUGCAAAUCGUACGUACUGUAACAUUGGAAUUGAUGUAAAAGCAAAAAUACAAGAAUAUUUAUGUCAAUAAAAAUAGUUUUUUUGGCCUUUUUAAAUAAACACAACGCGAUAUUGCUCUGCUCUACAUUUUUGCUAUCUCUUUAUUCUUCUUUUUUUUUUUGGGCUUCUUAAAGCCUCAAACUUUGAUAACCAAAACUUCAUCGACCUAUGAAAAAAUCUGCAGAUUAGUUUUUAUUAUCGGAAUAAUCAUUUGAGAAUACUAAAACAAAAUAUAAAUAAGAAAAUAGGAGGUUAAAUUAGAGGGGGGAAAAAAGGUAUGUUGGAUAGAUUACUAUAGUUUAAGAAAAAAAAAUCCAAUUGGGAAUUUUUUUCUUUAAUUUUUGUUUUACUUGAUUGAGAUUUCUCCUUGGUCCUUACAGUUUUAAGUUUGGAUGCCGUAGGGUUAGUAAUUUAGUACUUCCUUUGCAAGCUGAGUGCAAGAAUGAAAAUCUUUAAAGAAAUAAAAAAAAAAAAAAAAAGCAUACCAAUAGGUAAUUAUAAAUAACCAUACAUAAACAUAAACAAAAUGAGGUAAUUAUUAAUAUUAUUUUUUGUUUUAUUUCUUACUUGUCUAUUUUAUUUGCUGCUUGAUAACCCGUAAAUACUAAUCUAGUACUGCUAAUUUCAGACACAAAAUUUUUAACUCUAGGCUGCAGUUUUACUCAAAAUGAUGACCACUGGCUUCGCACCAUUUAACCGGCAUACAUUUCUACAAAUUGAACAAGGCUAUUGAUUUUCAUUAUUAUUUUUUAUUUUUUUAUAAAUUACUAUUUUAAUUUUCACUUUUCAUUGGGUUGUUUAACGGAUUAGUGAAGUUGGUGGUCGUGAUGCACUCACAAGGUACAAUUUUAUUUUAUAAUUUCAAAUUUGUAUUUUAAAAUGCAGGUACAUUAUGUAUACAUAAUUAUUGAUUUUCGUAUGUGGGUGUUUUGAAAUAUUGCUAAAAGACCAAACUUUAAUAAACUAUUUUUCAUCUUUUUUUUUUCCUAAAGUUUAAGUGAUAUCCGCAUUUUAAAUUCAUGUGGAACAAAAGCUAAUGUAUGCACAAAAUCCUUUUAUUUUUUCCGAGAAAAAUGGUUAAGAGAAGAAGAUUUUUCUCUUGAAAAAGAAAAACUAAUACGAUGCAAGCAUAGGAAAGAGGUCAGUGUUUUGGAUUAGAAUUUAGUAUUGAGCUGAAUUUUAUACUAAACUCUUUUAUAGUACUGCGAUUAAUAAACUCAUGAUUUGCUUUUGCUUUUACCUCAAGUGAAAGAAAGAGGAAACCUUUUGUUUUUUGUUUGAUUCUUGACUAUAGGUGUUACCUAUAUAGAGAGUUGAGGUAGCUGCCUUAAGUGAUGGUGAUAAAAAGAUUAAGCAGCGCACACAAUCUUACUGUCGUCCAGACCAUCCAGCUGUGAUGACUCUUGUUUUUUGGUUACAUUAGCUUUAGUGGAACGGAGGGCCAAUUUAACAAAGACUAGAUUUGGUGGCUUACUAUAAUGCUUAUUCUCAGGGAAUCUAAUGUUAUAAGAUGAUUUAAUGAUCUUCUAUGAUUGUGAGUAGUAUAGUAUAAUUGAAAAGAGCUUGGGCUCCUAUGAUGAAUAUUUAAUAGUAACACAGUACUGUUAUUGAAAAAAACACAGUUACAAUAAACUCUUCAUUUAUUCAUUGUGGAGAUUGAAUGGCAAACAGAGAAUAAAAUGAAGCAGAGGAAUCUCAUUGCCAGUAAAAUUGACCCUCUUUAAUGUUAUAUGGCACAGGUGUGUGUACAGCAAGAUCAAGUUACUUGCAGUUUUUAUUGUAAAAUAUAUAGGUUAUGACCAUGAUCAUUGUAGUUAGGUUUUGAUGAUUUUAGAUGCUUUUUUUAUUUUUUUUAAAAUUGUGACACCUUUGAUUUAUGGUAGUUUUGCAGAAGAAAAAAAUAUAUAUAAAAAUUAGGAGGGAUGAGUUAACUAACGAUUGCAAUCAUUACAGUAAUGUUGAUGAGUGAUACAUCAUUUGAAAUUUACUUGUCAGUUGCUGAAAUGAUGAAAAAAAACAGUAAACAAUAGCAGUAAUAUUUUUUGGCAAUAUAAAAAAUUAUUGCGGUUAUUUUUUGGCAAUAUAAAAAAAUUUUAGCAAAUAAAAAUUAAUUUUUUUCCGAUUAACUAAAAAAUUAAUUAAAAACUUCUGCGAUGGCAUUUUUUAUGGGUGCAUAUACCCUCCCUUUAAAAGAAAAAAUAAUAAUUAAUACUUAAUAUAGUAUUAAAUACGAAAAUAUCAAUAUUUGACUACACAAAUUUAAUAGUCUUGUGUAAUUAGUGAGUGAGAGAUUGGGUGUAUUGGAGUUUUGGGUAGUGAGCCAAAAUAUUACAAUACUUGUAAUCUUUAUUUCACUAGUGAAAUAUUUUCCUUCUGUUUUUGCCCGUGGACGUAGGCUAAAAGCCGAACCACGUAAUUUCUGGUGUCCUCUAUUGUACUUGUUCUUUAUUUGCUUCCAAUUUUAUUUUAACUGCGCGUCUGCUUCACCCAUCAAUUUCCUAACAAAUCUUGAUCCCAUGCACACGCAAAUAUGUUAAUUUCUAUACGCUUCACUUACCUGUAGAAUCAAUUAUCUAAAAUGCAAGUUUGUGGCCACAAAAAAAGCCAAAGAAAGAAGAUAAUAACAAUUGACUUGUAUAUUAUACUCAUACAAUCCACUCGACAUAAUGAUAUCAUUUUAAUAAGGCAAUGGCUGAUGAUCUCCAUUGAAAAACUAAUUCAAUUUUUUUGCUUCAUUUAACUUUUUGGUUGUUGAAAAUAACCUUAAUUAUCAAAUAAUUGGAGAAAGAGUAAAGAACAUUUAACAAAUUUAUGUGCAAAAAAAAAAAAAAAGAAGUUGAAGAGAAAGGGUGCUUGCAGAAGUGGGUGUCAAAGAAACAUCGGUCCAUAAGAAUUAUUGCGGUUAUUUUUUGGCAAUAUAAAAUAUUUAUAGCAAGUAAAAAUUAAAUUUUUUCCGAUUUACUAAAAAAUUAACUAAAAACUUCUGCCACAACAUUUUUUAUGGGUACAUAUACCCUCCCUUUAAAAAAAAAAUAAUAAUUAAUGCUUAAUAUAGUAUUAAAUACCAAAAUAUCAAUAUUUGGCUACUCAAAUUUAUAUCAUUAGGUCCUUAAAAUUAAAAAUUGAUGAUACAAAAGGAAAUAUAUAUAAAUUUCAUUCUCAUGGAAAGGAUUCUCUUAUAAUCUUAUAAUAUUUGAGUUUUGAAAUUUUUUGAAGCAAAUGUAAUUUUAUUUGUGUACAAUCAAUAUUUACUUAUUUAUUAUAUUUUAAUUUGUUAACUAUCAAUCAUUUAAGUAUAUUUAGUCAGAAAAAUUAUAUCAAGAGAGAAUCCUAAUUUCACGCAAACACAAAUACAAGAUAAAUAUGUCAAUUUCUAUACUAUCCACUUUCCUGUAGAAUCAAUUAUCUAAAAUGCAAGUUUGUGGCUACCGAAAACUCGCCAAAGAAAGAAGAUAAUAACAAUUGAGCAUUGAUAGCAAAACUAAUGCAUCAUUUUCUUCUUGACUUGAUGAGAUGGUGCCAUUACAAAAAAAAAAGUACCUUAAUUGACGGGCACUGAGUGAUGUGAAUACUACCAGCCAGUUCAUCUCUUCCAGUCUUGCUUAAUCACAAUCACAAACACCACGAGAUUGACAUUUGCAUUAUAUAUAUCUUCAGCAAUCGAAACACCUUGCAUUACCAAAUUAACCGGUAACAAACAAAGCAAUCUUUCAUGGAGAGAAACUUUAGUCUCAGUAUGAUCACUUUGUCAUUAACCCACUACCUGCUUCUUUGCUUGGUUGUUGCAGCAGCAGCAGCCGCAAGCAACAAUAUUACCACAGACCAACAAGCUCUUCUUGCCCUGAAAGAUCAUAUAACUUAUGAUCCAACCAACCUUUUUGCCCAUAAUUGGACCUCGAAUACCUCUGUUUGUACCUGGAUUGGCAUCACUUGUGAUGUCAAUAGCCAUAGAGUCACAGCCUUAGAUAUUUCUCAAUUCAAUCUACAAGGCACCAUCCCUCCUCAACUUGGAAACCUUUCUUCACUUACAACGCUUAAUCUUAGUCAUAACAAGCUUUCUGGAGACGUUCCAUCCUCCAUCUACACCAUGCAUUCGCUAAAAUUUCUUGACUUCACUGAUAACCAGCUCUCUGGUUCAGUGUCUUCCUUCGUCUUCAACAUGUCUUCAAUAUUAGAAAUUCUUUUGACCAAUAACAGAUUUUCUGGUGAGCUUCCGAAAAAUAUUUGCAACUAUCUUCCUUAUUUGAAAGCCCUUUUCUUAAACAAAAACAUGUUUCAUGGCAAAAUUCCUUCUGCUUUAUCAAAGUGCAAACAACUGCAAAAAUUAAAUUUGCAGUUCAAUAAUUUAUCCGGUGCAAUACCGAAAGAAAUCGGCAACUUGACUAUGCUCAAAGGCAUAUAUCUCGAAUACAACAAACUCCACGGUAUGUUCAUAAUACUAUGUAAAUGUUUUAAUUUCUCAAUUGUUAUUUUCUUGAAUACUUUAGACAAGAUCUUGUAAGGGAGAUAUUUUUGGAUCUGUGUUAAUUUGCCAGGUGAGAUACCCCACGAAAUCGCUAAUCUUCGAAAUCUAGAGGAUUUAUUGCUUGGAAUGAACAACCUAGUUGGUGUGUUACCAGCUCCAAUCUUCAACAUGUCAACACUGAAAUUAUUUGACCUCAUAAAUAACUCUCUCUCCGGAAGUCUUCCAUCAAGAAUAGACCUUUCACUUCCAACUGUUGAGUUUUUUGGCUUGGCACUUAAUAGAUUUUCUGGAACCAUUCCUAGUUCCAUCACCAAUGCUUCUAAGCUCACCGUUCUAGCGUUGGGAGAGAACACAUUUUCGGGCUUCAUUCCAAACACAAUUGGUAAUUUAAGAAACCUUGAGUGGCUCAGCUUGGAGAAUAAUUACUUGAAAUCUUCAACCUCAAAAUUGAGCUUUCUUUCCUCUUUGGCAAAUUGCAAGAAAUUAAGAUUCUUAAACUUAGCAGGCAAUCCACUUGACGGCUUCCUUCCAAGUUCAAUAGGUAAUCUUUCUGUGUCUUUGGAAACACUUUUCAUCGGCAAUUGCAGUAUUAGUGGCAACAUUCCUCAAGCAAUUAGCAAUUUAAGCAACUUGUUGACCUUAGUAUUAGAAGGCAAUAAAUUGACUGGACCAAUUCCAAUUACAUUUGGCCGACUACAGAAACUCCAAGGCUUAGAUCUUGCAUUCAAUAAGUUGGUAGGUUCAUUCCCAGAUGAGCUUUGCCAUCUAGCAAGGCUGGAUCAAUUGGUCUUAUUUGGCAAUAAGCUUUCAGGAUCUAUACCUUCAUGCCUAAGUAAUCUCACUUCUCUAAGAUCUCUCUACUUAGGGUCCAAUAGGUUAACUUCUGUUAUUCCCUCAACUUUCUGGAGCCUAAAAUACAUCUUGUUCUUUGACUUUUCAUCAAAUUUCUUGGUUGGUACUCUUUCUUUCGACAUAGGUAAUUUGAAGGUGCUUCUAGGAAUAAAUUUAUCAGAAAAUAACUUAUCGGGUGAUAUGCCAGCCACAAUUGGAGGACUGAAAGAUCUUCAAUUUAUGGACCUAGCAUUUAAUAGAUUGGAAGGCCCAAUUCCUGAAUCAUUUGGUGACUUGACAAGUUUGGAGGUUUUGAAUUUGUCAAAAAAUAAAAUCUCUGGGUCUAUUCCAACAUCCAUGGAGAAACUCAUUUACCUUCGAGAGUUAAAUCUCUCUUUCAAUAAACUUGAAGGUGAGAUUCCUAGUGGAGGAAUUUUUACCAACUUCACAGCUGAGUCAUUUAUGGGAAAUGAGUUAUUGUGUGGUUUACCAAAUCUUCAAGUCCAACCAUGCAAACUUAGCAAGCCUAGGACAGAACAUAAAUCAAGGAAAAAGAUACUUCUCAUUGUGAUUGUUUUGCCAUUGAGUAUUGCUCUAACGAUAGCAAUCACUCUAGCUCUCAAAUCUAAGCUGAUCGAAUGUAGAAAAAGAGGCACAGAGUUAUCAAAUGAUAGUAUCUUGUCAUCAGAAGCAACACUAAGAAGAUUUUUAUACUUAGAACUUUUACAAGCAACAGAUAAUUUUGCUGAAAACAACAUAAUUGGCAGAGGAGGUUUUGGUUCCGUUUAUGGAGCAAGACUUGAAGAUGGGAUGAAGAUUGCAAUAAAAGUGUUUCACCAGCAAUGUGCAAGCGCAUUGAAGAGUUUUGAGGCUGAAUGUGAAGUGUUAAAAAAUAUUCACCAUCGAAACCUUAUCAAAGUUAUCAGCAGUUGCUCGAACGAUGACUUCAAAGCAUUAGUCCUAGAAUACAUGUCCAACGGGAGCUUGGAGGAUUGGCUGCAUUCUAGCAAUUAUGUGCUGAAUAUAUUUCAGAGGUUGAACAUAAUGAUUGACGUUGCAUCAGCUUUAGAAUAUCUCCACUUCGAUCAUUCAACUGCUAUUAUUCAUUGUGACUUAAAGCCUAGUAAUGUAUUGUUGGACGAAAAUAUGGUUGCUCAUUUGAGUGAUUUUGGCAUAGCAAAGCUUUUAAGUGGAGAGGAUGAGUCUACGAUACGAACAAAAACCCUUGCCACUCUAGGUUAUAUGGCACCAGGUUUGCUUCAAACAACUUUCGUUUUUAGUUCAUUUUAAAUUUUCCAACUUAUUGAUUUUUACAAUCCUCACAUCAAAAUGUUAUUGAUUAUUUAUCUAAUUGUGAAAUUAAUUUGAUUCAUAGAGUAUGGCAUAGGAGGAGAAGUAUCUACAAAAAGUGAUGUUUAUAGCUAUGGGAUUAUGUUGAUGGAAACUUUUACCAAGAAAAAACCCACAGAUGAAAUUUUUGUUGGAGAAUUGAGCUUAAAGCGUUGGGUUAAUGACUUGCUUCCUAAUUCAUUAGUGGAAGUUGUGGACAAAACUCUGCUAAGUGGAGAGGAAAAACAUUCUGCAGCAAAGGAGCAAUGUCUGUUGUCUAUCUUUAGUUUGGCUCUGGAGUGUACAAUGGAAUCACCGGAAAAGAGGAUUAAUGCAAAAGAUAUUGUUACCGGAUUACUCAAGAUAAGAGACACAUUGAGUAAAAGGAUAGGAAAUUUAAGUUAAUUUCGUUUGCUUUCAUUGAUAGUUAAUUCGAAUUCAUGUAAUAAGUGUAAGAACCUUAUAUCUUUUACUUUGAUUUUUUUUUUCUUGAGAAAACUGUUGUAGUCAUCUUGUUUCCAUGGGCGGAGUUGAUUUAGUUCUUCCAAGAAAUGCUACUGAUGACAUUUGUUUUAUACUUUCUCUUUUUUUUUGCAUGUGUUUAGGUAGAAUAGUGGUUUGGUUGCACUCUAAGAAGUCUAACUACACUAAAAGAAUAUGAUUUAAUUUAUUAAACAAAACUUCAAGUUCAAGAAAAGUAUCUCAUUGCCCCCAAUGCUUUGGACACCUAUUGGUAGGUUUGUACGUGUCCUCAACUUUUUUUUGGAGCACAAAAUUCGAGUCCCAUAAAGGCUCAAACAUUCCUUUCCUUCAUCCCGAGGGCGCCUUCUGUCCUCUGUUUUCUGUUUCCACACACAAAUAGCAAAAAGAAAUUAGAAUGACAACUGGGACAUAUAUAAGAGUGAAAUAAUUAAAAAAAUUAUGCUUUUUUGUCUGUCGUGUUAAAAUCGUAAGUACCGAAGUACUGUGAAAGAGAUUAAUUUACAGAAACUGAAGCCAAG